ensembl:snRNA
GUGUUGUAUGAAAGGAGAGAAGGUUACCACUCCCCUUGAUAAGGAUGGAAGAGGACCUCGUGGCCUUUACAGCACACAUAUGAUUAAGGCAUUACCACUUACUCUGUGGCAUCUAACCAUGCUUUUUA